AUAUUCUGUGAGCAGGAAAGCAGGGGACCGCAAGGCCUUCCGCUCUUUGAGCGGCCGAUGUCAGAUUAGCUAGUUGGUGAGGUAAAGGCUUACCAAGGCGACGAUCUGUAGCGGGUCUGAGAGGAUGAUCCGCCACACUGGAACUGAGACACGGUCCAGACUCCUACGGGAGGCAGCAGUGGGGAAUUUUGGACAAUGGGGGCAACCCUGAUCCAGCCAUGCCGCGUGAGUGAAGAAGGCCUUCGGGUUGUAAAGCUCUUUCGGCCGGGAAGAAAUCGCAUGGGCCAAUACCCUGUGUGGAUGACGGUACCGGAAUAAGAAGCACCGGCUAACUACGUGCCAGCAGCCGCGGUAAUACGUAGGGUGCGAGCGUUAAUCGGAAUUACUGGGCGUAAAGCGUGCGCAGGCGGUUUUGUAAGACAGGCGUGAAAUCCCCGGGCUUAACCUGGGAACUGCGUUAGUGACUGCAAGGCUAGAGUACGGCAGAGGGGGGUGGAAUUCCACGUGUAGCAGUGAAAUGCGUAGAGAUGUGGAGGAACACCAAUGGCGAAGGCAGCCCCCUGGGUCGAUACUGACGCUCAUGCACGAAAGCGUGGGUAGCAAACAGGAUUAGAUACCCUGGUAGUCCACGCCCUAAACUAUGUCAACUAGGUGUUGGGUGGGUAAAACCAUUUAGUACCGUAGCUAACGCGUGAAGUUGACCGCCUGGGGUGUACGGCCGCAAGGUUAAAACUCAAAGGAAUUGACGGGGACCCGCACAAGCGGUGGAUGAUGUGGAUUAAUUCGAUGCAACGCGAAAAACCUUACCUACCCUUGACAUGCCAGGAACUUGCCAGAGAUGGCUUGGUGCCCGAAAGGGAGCCUGGACACAGGUGCUGCAUGGCUGUCGUCAGCUCGUGUCGUGAGAUGUUGGGUUAAGUCCCGCAACGAGCGCAACCCUUGUCGUUAAUUGCCAUCAUUUAGUUGGGCACUUUAACGAGACUGCCGGUGACAAACCGGAGGAAAGUGGGGAUGACGUCAAGUCCUCAUGGCCCUUAUGGGUAGGGCUUCACACGUCAUACACUGGUCGGUACAAAGGGUUGCCAAGCCGCGAGGCGGAGCCAAUCCCAGAAAGCCGAUCGUAGUCCGGAUUGCAGGCUGCAACUCGCCUGCAUGAAGUCGGAAUCGCUAGUAAUCGUGGAUCAGCAUGUCACGGUGAAUACGUUCCCGGGUCUUGUACACACCGCCCGUCACACCAUGGGAGCGGGUUCCGCCAGAAGUAGGUAGCCUAACCGCAAGGGGGGCGCUUACCACGGCGGGGUUCGUGACUGGGGUGAAGUCGUAACAAGGUA
rnacentral:rRNA from 1 species